rnacentral:rRNA from 1 species
CGUCAAGUCAGCAUGGCCUUGAUGUCCAGGGCGACACACACGCUACAAUGGCAGGUACAAUGGGCAGCGAAGCCGCGAGGUGGAGCGAAUCCCGCAAAGCCUGUCGUAGUUCGGAUUGCAGUCUGCAACUCGACUGCAUGAAGGUGGAAUCGCUAGUAAUCGCGGAUCAGAACGCCGCGGUGAAUACGUUCCCGGGCCUU